GUUACCCUUCAAAAUUGAUGUGGUACUUUUAAACGAUUGGAAAUCAAUUUAAAAGUAGAAAUAUAAUUCAAUUUAAAACAUUUCUUUAUCGAGAGAUAGCAAUAUUAACAUUGUUUUUUGAAUGUGACUACUCAUUUUUCAAUUACAAAAUGGUAACUGAUUUUUUGAUGUAGGUGGUAUUCUUUUCUAAAGCUUUGUAAACAUUACAAAUGUCUAACUGGGCUCAUCAUUUAUUUAGAAUAAAUGCCUUGGCAUUCAUUGAACCCAACAGCUCAGAAAUAUUUAUUCCAUUCAUAUCACAGCCUUAGACUUUAUCCAUGUUAGGAGUUUAAUGGACUGAGAUGAAAACAAUAAAAAAUGGUUAGGCUUCAUUCAGUGUUCAAAAGGCAAUUCUGAGCAUUACAGCAUAUAAAGGGUACAACAUGUGCUAAAUGAGUCCUGAGAAAAAAUUAUUCUUCAAUUUGAAUAAAUAGCAAUUAAACAAUAGCAGAGAGAGAAAUGGAACAUGUCAAAAAUUAACUUUCUUUUUCAGCACUGACUUUGUUUUACACAUGCACAUUUUCGUCCCACAAAAUGCCAAGUUGUUUAAAGUACUAUGAAGUCAUCAAAAGGAAAUGUGUCACGAAUAAAAACUCAGCCACUGUCAUUUAGAUGCCUGUAUUCUAAAUGGAAUGGUAAUUGAAAAUAUGUGCAUGUUUAGUAAUUGUUUCCUUUUUUAUAUUACUUAGGACCAAGACACGAUGUAGCUGACUGAAGAUACUAGUGUAAAUAACUUCAAGCCUACUGAGGGAAUACAGGAGUCACAGUGCAGGAUAUGAGAGCAAUCAGAAAAUGAGGAUAGAUUUCAUUACUGUAGACAAUGGUCACAGAAGUAAACUGAGCUGCAAUUGAUACAGCUUAACUUGACACACCAGAUUCACUUUAUAAAUGAUUCAUUUUGUUGUCCAUUGAAUAACCCCUCCCUUCUCCCCCCCCCCUCCCCCCGCAUUAAAGUUCAAUAUUCAGAAGCUCUGGAGACCCCAGCAGGUGCCAGUUUGCUAACUAGAGACCCAGACCUGCUGUCACUGAAGUCAAGGGCAAAAUUCCAAUGAACUGUACAGGAUUAGGUCUUCUGAAAGUUGCAACUACAUUAUGGAAACUAUAAGAAUAAAUUGUGAUUUAAACUGGAUUUACAUUUUACCGCUGAAUUCAGCAGUUAUACUCCCAAUACCAUAUAUUCCUUCACUUUAUUCACUCAUAGUUCCAACAGUAGCACUCUCACUACGUGGCUAGAGAGCUGAAAGUUAAAUUUCCUCAGCAGGAUUUGGGCCCUUACCUGAAGCUGACACUGUUCUGUCCAGUAGGUUAGCAUUUAGAUACUGCAGUGAUCAAUGAUCUAGAAACACCUGGAAAAGGAGUCUAAAAAUGAGGCAUGUUUAAGCACUGAAUAGUUUUGUUCAUAUUCCAUAGGAUUAGGCAGAAUGGCUAAACUUCCAUGAGAAUCAGCUAGUUCUCCCUAAUGAAGGUCCAAACCAAGCCAGGAGAACUUGAAGAAAGACCAACAACAGCUUAUAGAAGCAGAACAGAAGAAAAACAGGAAGGCCUGUGACCCUUAGAGGAGCAAAGGCAGCAAGAAGAAUACAGUUUGUUAAUGGAGCUUUUUCACUUUGAAUCAGAAAUCCAGGAAAGGACAAGGAAACAAUGGGAUCAGCAGAAAGAACAAGCAAAGCUGCAAAAGGAAGAAAACAGAGACAGAUGGAGGAAUCUGUGUUACAUCACACAGAACCAGCGCUUCAGCAAUUAUCCUCUACUGCAACCCCAGGACUUUUGGGGCCGAUGGAACUUGAUCCCAUAUUAGCUGCUUGCGGGUGGCCUGCAUCUUCCCCUUUUGGUGUCCUCUGCUGCUUCUUAAGACUGUUAAGAUUCUAUGAGCCAGGCCCUGAGCUGCCUAGCUUUUCUACUGCUGGCAUUUUGUCUUCAAAGGACCAUUGCUGUGGCCAUUCAAGUCUCUGCAAGCAGUGAAAAGACUCUGAAAGCCUUUGAAAUUUAUGAGUCUCCACAUCAUGUCAGAGUAAUGAUGAGCAUGAAAGAAAAGCUUUUAUUUGUUUAAAAUGUUGGU